rnacentral:rRNA from 1 species
UACGUAGGGUGCGAGCGUUAAUCGGAUUUACUGGGCGUAAAGCGAGCGCAGGUGGUUUAAUAAGUCUGAUGUAAAAGGCAGUGGCUCAACCAUUGUGUGCAUUGGAAACUGUUAGACUUGAGUGCAGGAGAGGAGAGUGGAAUUCCAUGUGUAGCGGUGAAAUGCGUAGAUAUAUGGAGGAACACCGGUGGCAAAAGCGGCUCUCUGGCCUGUAACUGACACUGAGGCUCGAAAGCGUGGGGAGCAAACAGG